rnacentral:rRNA from 1 species
CUCCCACCCGUGUCUAUUGUACCUGUUGCUUCGGCGGGCCCGCCGCUUGUCGGCCGCCGGGGGGGCAUCUCUGCCCCUCGGGCCCGUGCCCGCCGGAGACACCAACACGAACACUGUCUGAAAUCGUGAAGUCUGAGUCGAUUGUUUUCAAUCAGUUAAAACUUUCAACAAUGGAUCUCUUGGUUCCGGCAUCGAUGAAGAACGCAGCGAAAUGCGAUAACUAAUGUGAAUUGCAGAAUUCAGUGAAUCAUCGAGUCUUUGAACGCACAUUGCGCCCCCUGGUAUUCCGGGGGGCAUGCCUGUCCGAGCGUCAUUGCUGCCCUCAAGCCCGGCUUGUGUGUUGGGUCGCCGUCCCCCUGUCUGGGGGGACGGGCCCGAAAGGCAGCGGCGGCACCGCGUCCGAUCCUCGAGCGUAUGGGGCUUUGUCACAUGCUCUGUAGGAUUGGCCGGCGCCUGCCGACAACUCCA